AAGGGUCCAGCUCAAAAGAAACAACAAUAAGCUACAGAGAGUUGCUUCUUUUGUAACAAGUCUAGACACGUAAAGAAAUAUUGUACCAAAUAUCAUGCUUGGCGUGCAAAGAAAGGGUUGCCUGAGUUACCGAAUGCCAAGUGAUGAUGAAAGACACAUCUUUGUGGGCGAUGAAAAAUCGGUAUAAGUGGAAGCGAUUGGGCAUUUUAGGUUGUUAUUAGGAACUGGUUUUUAUUUGGAUUUAAAAGAAGCUUUUAUUGUACCGUCAUUUAGACGGAAUUUAGUUUAUGUUUAUUCGUUGGACAAAUUUGGAUAUUAUUGUUUAUUCAGAAACAAUCAAUUUAAUUUGUCUUUAAAUUCAAA